AAAGGAAUGUCUCACUCGGAGACCUUCUUUGUGGGGAAUUUGAAGUGAAGGCCCAUACACAGAAAUUAACAUUUCUUUUUAUCAUUUGUUGUAAGCUUUUAUAUAGCUAUACAAUUUAUAACAAAAAAGACUUCCUGAUUUGAGCUUUGUGAAGUUGAGCUAGUGAAGUCUUUUU